GGUGAACGCUGGCGGCGUGCCUAAUACAUGCAAGUCGAGCGAACAGAUAAGGAGCUUGCUCCUUUGACGUUAGCGGCGGACGGGUGAGUAACACGUGGGUAACCUACCUAUAAGACUGGAAUAACUCCGGGAAACCGGGGCUAAUGCCGGAUAACAUUUAGAACCGCAUGGUUCUAAAGUGAAAGAUGGUUUUGCUAUCACUUAUAGAUGGACCCGCGCCGUAUUAGCUAGUUGGUAAGGUAACGGCUUACCAAGGCAACGAUACGUAGCCGACCUGAGAGGGUGAUCGGCCACACUGGAACUGAGACACGGUCCAGACUCCUACGGGAGGCAGCAGUAGGGAAUCUUCCGCAAUGGGCGAAAGCCUGACGGAGCAACGCCGCGUGAGUGAUGAAGGUCUUCGGAUCGUAAAACUCUGUUAUUAGGGAAGAACAAAUGUGUAAGUAACUGUGCACGUCUUGACGGUACCUAAUCAGAAAGCCACGGCUAACUACGUG
rnacentral:rRNA from 1 species